rnacentral:rRNA from 1 species
GAUGAACGCUAGCGGGAGGCCUAACACAUGCAAGCCGAGCGGUAUUGUUUCUUCGGAAAUGAGAGAGCGGCGUACGGGUGCGUAACACGUGUGCAACCUGCCUUUAUCUGGGGGAUAGCCUUUCGAAAGGAAGAUUAAUACUCCAUAAUAUAUUGAACGGCAUCGUUUAAUAUUGAAAGCUCCGGCGGAUCGUGAUGGGAACGCGCAAGAUUAGCUAGUUGGUGAGGUAACGGCUCACCAAGGCGAUGAUCUUUAGGGGGCCUGAGAGGGUGGUCCCCCACACUGGUACUGAGACACGGACCAGACUCCUACGGGAGGCAGCAGUGAGGAAUAUUGGUCAAUGGGUGCAAGCCUGAACCAGCCAUCCCGCGUGAAGGACGACUGCCCUAUGGGUUGUAAACUUCUUUUGUAUAGGGAUAAACCUACCCUCGUGAGGGUAGCUGAAGGUACUAUACGAAUAAGCACCGGCUAACUCCGUGUCAGCCGCCGCAGUAA